GAUGAACGCUGGCGGCGUGCCUAAUACAUGCCAGUCGAGCGAACAGAUGAGGAGCUUGCUCCUCUGACGUUAGCGGCGGACGGGUGAGUAACACGUGGAUAACCUACCUAUAAGACUGGGAUAACUUCGGGAAACCGGAGCUAAUACCGGAUAAUAUAUUGAACCGCAUGGUUCAAUAGUGAAAGACGGUUUUGCUGUCACUUAUAGAUGGAUCCGCGCCGCAUUAGCUAGUUGGUAAGGUAACGGCUUACCAAGGCAACGAUGCGUAGCCGACCUGAGAGGGUGAUCGGCCACACUGGAACUGAGACACGGUCCAGACUCCUACGGGAGGCAGCAGUAGGGAAUCUUCCGCUAUGGGCGAAAGCCUGACGGAGCAACGCCGCGUGAGUGAUGAAGGUCUUCGGAUCGUAAAACUCUGUUAUUGGGGAAGAACAAAUGUGUAAGUAACUAUGCACGUCUUGACGGUACCUAAUCAGAAAGCCACGGCUAACUACGUG
rnacentral:rRNA from 1 species